AUGCGGCGGUGCCGGGGCGCGGGGCUGGCGGCGCUGGCCGCGGUGCUCCUGGUGGCUGUGGUCAGAGCCCAGGUGCAGCAGGAGGCGUCGGCAGAGACCACCGAGGGCACCAGCAUCAGCAUCAACUGCUCACACCCCAACAUACAGACCGGCGACUACAUCCACUGGUACCGCCAGCUCCCGGGCCGAGGCCCCGCAUUCCUCGUGAGCACUCUUAAAGAUUCCAAAAAGCUGACGGACCCGCCGGGGCGGCUGUCGGUGGCGGCAGACCGCCGGUCCAGCGCCCUGUGGCUCGCCCGGCCCCGGCGCGGGGACGCGGCGGUGUAUUACUGCGCCCUGAGAGACACGGGGAGAGGAGCCGGGGCUGCGGCCGGGCACGAACCGCCGCGGGCGGGGCCGGGCCUGUGGGGCGGGGGCGGGGGGACAGCCCCGGGCGGGCCCGCCAGGGGGCGCUGCCGCUCCGCCCGCCGGCGCCUCCUCGCCCCGCCCGGCCCCGCCCGGCCCCGCCCGGCCCCGCCCAUCCCUGCCAACCGUGUGAGCAAAGGGCCCUGGGUGCAAGUGGCAGAGGAGCCCUGCUCCGGGCAGCAGACAUCAGAAGACAUGAAAAUCAAGUAG